AACUCUGAGACAGGUGCUGCAUGGCUGUCGUCAGCUCGUGUUGUGAAAUGUUGGGUUAAGUCCCGCAACGAGCGCAACCCUUAUCCUUUGUUGCCAGCGGUUAGGCCGGGAACUCAAAGGAGACUGCCAGUGAUAAACUGGAGGAAGGUGGGGAUGACGUCAAGUCAUCAUGGCCCUUACGAGUAGGGCUACACACGUGCUACAAUGGCGCAUACAAAGAGAAGCGACCUCGCGAGAGCAAGCGGACCUCAUAAAGUGCGUCGUAGUCCGGAUUGGAGUCUGCAACUCGACUCCAUGAAGUCGGAAUCGCUAGUAAUCGUGGAUCAGGAUGCCACGGUGAAUACGUUCCCGGGCCUUGUACACACCGCCCGUCACACCAUGGGAGUGGGUUGCAAAAGAAGUAGGUAGCUUAACCUUCGGGAGGGCGCUUACCACUUUGUGAUUCAUGACUGGGGUGAAGUCGUAACAAGGUAGGCGUAGUGCU
rnacentral:rRNA from 1 species